AUUGAACGCUGGCGGCAUGCUUUACACAUGCAAGUCGAACGGCAGCACGGGGGCAACCCUGGUGGCGAGUGGCGAACGGGUGAGUAAUAUAUCGGAACGUACCCGGAAAUGGGGGAUAACGUAGCGAAAGUUACGCUAAUACCGCAUAUGCCCUAAGGGGGAAAGCGGGGGAUUCGCAAGAACCUCGCGUUUUCGGAGCGGCCGAUAUCGGAUUAGCUAGUAGGUGAGGUAAAGGCUCACCUAGGCGACGAUCCGUAGCUGGUCUGAGAGGACGACCAGCCACACUGGAACUGAGACACGGUCCAGACUCCUACGGGAGGCAGCAGUAGGGAAUAUUGGACAAUGGAGGAAACUCUGAUCCAGCCAUGCCGCGUGAUAGAUGAAGGCCCUCUGGGUUGUAAUAUCUUUUAUCUGGGAAGAAACAAUCUUAUUCUUAAGAAUCUUGUACGGUACCAGAGGAAUAAGCACCGGCUAACUACCGUGCCAGCAGCCGCGGUAA
rnacentral:rRNA from 1 species